UACACUCCUACGGGAGGCAGCAGUGAGGAAUAUUGGACAAUGGGUGGAAGCCUGAUCCAGCCAUCCCGCGUGCAGGAAGACGGCCCUAUGGGUUGUAAACUGCUUUUAUCUGGGGAUAAACCUACUUACGUGUAAGUAGCUGAAGGUACCAGAAGAAUAAGCACCGGCUAACUCCGUGCCAGCAGCCGCGGUAAUACGGAGGGUGCAAGCGUUAUCCGGAUUUAUUGGGUUUAAAGGGUCCGUAGGCGGACUGAUAAGUCAGUGGUGAAAUCCGACAGCUUAACUGUCGAACUGCCAUUGAUACUGUUAGUCUUGAGUAAGGUUGAAGUGGCUGGAAUAAGUAGUGUAGCGGUGAAAUGCAUAGAUAUUACUUAGAACACCAAUUGCGAAGGCAGGUCACUAAGUCUUAACUGACGCUGAUGGACGAAAGCGUGGGGAGCGAACAGGAUUAGAAACCCGGGUAGUCCCAUGAU
rnacentral:rRNA from 1 species